GGGAGCAAAGCACCCUAUUUUUUGAGAAUUAUUUGGUAACUAAUGCUAAAAAAAUGAGUGCUUCUUAUCCUCGAAUUUUGAAACUAAAAGGUCUAAAUAUUAAAAUUAAUGAAAGCCAGAUGUUAAUGCUAGUUCCAAGUAAGCAUGGUGAAAAUUAGUUAGCACCUUUCCUAAAGCAGAGAGGGAAGCUGGUUUCUACAGUGUCCACA
rnacentral:lncRNA from 1 species